UUGGAUAUUAGGACAAAGCUGUGCAUAAGAGACAGUCUGUAUCGCUUGGCUAGGAGUGCUGAACAGAGGCAUAAUUGUGUGAAUGGAAGUGGUGGUAAGAGAGAUGAUAGAGACUCGGGUGGUCCAUUGAUGGCUGAAGAAACAAAUAGGGGCACUGGCUUCCUCGAUAUGGAAACUGAUACAAAUCCCAUAGAUCGAUCUAUAGCUCACUUGCUGUUCCACAGACCUUCAGACUCUUCUGUGUUGCCUGUUAACGAUGCUUUUUCGCUUAAGUCUCACACUGCGGUUCACGGGUCUGUAACAAGUCCACCUGUGAUGGCCAAGGAACAGGUUUGCCCCGAAGAAACAGCCAAUGGUGUGGAUAAAAGUUUGUUAUUGAGUGGCAAUAAAAAAUAAUUAUUGACAUCAGCUUACUCAAUUGUAGAAUAUGUCUAUUUUUGGAUUAGUGCACAUCAUGUAUGAUAACGUUUUACAAGGCUUCCAGUGUAGAUGCCAGGCCAGUUCUAUGUUUGGAUGUCAUCAUUUUCAGAUGUGGAAGUAUCCUUUUUUGAGAUGUUGCUAAUAUAAUACUACAAAACAGAGGUCGAAUGAAUAAAUGGAUGGUCUCAGCAUAUGUUGGGAGCAACUUGCUUUGUCCCAUUGAUUCCUGACAUGCUUGAAUGAUCUGAUGUUAGAAGUGUUGGGCUUGAGACCUGGA